rnacentral:rRNA from 1 species
CAGUAGCCGCGGUAAUACGAAGGGGGCUAGCGUUGCUCGGAAUGACUGGGCGUAAAGGGCGCGUAGGCGGAUCACGCAGUCAGAUGUGAAAUUCCUGGGCUUAACCUGGGGGCUGCAUUUGAGACGCGUGGUCUAGAGUGUGAAAGAGGGUCGUGGAAUUCCCAGUGUAGAGGUGAAAUUCGUAGAUAUUGGGAAGAACACCGGUGGCGAAGGCGGCGACCUGGUUCAUAACUGACGCUGAGGCGCGAAAGCGUGGGGAGCAAACAGGAUUAGAGACCCCCGUAGUCCCUGUCUCUUAUAC